AUCUUUGCGCAUGAGGCAAUAUCACAACCAAUACAGUUCUACUCAGGUGGCGAUUAUUUCUAAUUGAAAACUUUAACCAAUUCACGCCAUGAGGACAUGAAAUGUCGUCCGCUACGGCAAAAUAAUAACUUAAUAAUU